UUUCCAGGAGUUAGUAGCUCAGCGGAGAAGAGCACAUGGUUCCGGACCAUGAGGUCAAGGGUUCAAAUCCCUUC
rnacentral:tRNA from 1 species